rnacentral:rRNA from 1 species
UACGUAGGGUGCAAGCGUUAAUCGGAAUUACUGGGCGUAAAGCGUGCGCAGGCGGUUGUGCAAGGCCGAUGUGAAAUCCCCGGGCUCAACCUGGGAAUGGCAUUGGUGACUGCACGGCUAGAGUGUGUCAGAGGGGGGUAGAAUUCCACGUGUAGCAGUGAAAUGCGUAGAGAUGUGGAGGAAUACCGAUGGCGAAGGCAGCCCCCUGGGAUAACACUGACGCUCAUGCACGAAAGCGUGGGGAGCAAACAGG